CCUACGGGGGGCUGCAGUGAGGAAUUUUGCGCAAUGGGGGAAACCCUGACGCAGCAACGCCGCGUGGGUGAAGAAGGCUUUCGGGUCGUAAAGCCCUGUCAGGUGGGAAGAACCGUUUCGAUACUAAUAAUGUCGAAGCCUGACGGUACCACCAGAGGAAGCACCGGCCAACUCCGUGCCAGCAGCCGCGGUAAUACGGAGGGUGCAAGCGUUGUUCGGAAUUAUUGGGCGUAAAGAGCGUGUAGGCGGUUCGGUAAGUCAGAUGUGAAAGCCCUGGGCUCAACCCAGGAAGUGCAUUUGAAACUACCAGACUUGAGUACGGGAGAGGAGGGGGGAAUUCCCGGUGUAGAGGUGAAAUUCGUAGAUAUCGGGAGGAAUACCAGUGGCGAAGGCGCCCCUCUGGACCGAUACUGACGCUGAGACGCGAAAGCGUGGGGAGCAAACAGGAUUAGAUACCCCGGUAGUC
rnacentral:rRNA from 1 species